ACUUUUACAAAACAUAGGGUCUAAAAUGGUAUUUACCCUAUAUUAUAUAAUGACAUAUAUUUUACUCUCACUGAUUAAUCUUUUAUUGUUCCCCAUAAAUAUAAUAGUGUGCAUUCUUUUUUAUUAUUAUUAUAAAUUGUUGUCGUUACAUAUUGAAUUUGUAUUUGACUUGACUAAUCUCACUGAUAGUGUGGUAGUGGCUUUCUUGCAAUAAUGUACUUGAGGUCGAUAGACGAUCAAUGUGUGAGUAAAGAGCGAGUACAAAUAGUAUAGUGAUGAUAACAUUGGGUUCGAGAUGCUUGAGGUUGUAUUUUGUUGAAAAUACAAUAAAGAAUAAGAAAAAUUGUUACAAAUGUUAUAAAGAAGACAUUUAUUUAGUGAAUCAAUUAUAAUUUGUGUGGAAAUCUCAAAUUUUGAGUUAUAUAUAUACUUUCUUUCCAUGUAUAGUUAUUCUUCAUUAAUCUAAUCCUUAUAUUUAUAAUGAUUAUAUUUAGUACUA